AGGGGGAGAUCCCAAACUCGAUCCCAAAUCCGGGUCUGAAUUCCCUGGGAGGAGCUUCUUUCCAUGGGGGGAUCAGACCCUUUUUCCAUGGGGAAAUCCCAUGGGGAUCAGACCAUUUCUCCAUGGGGAAAUCCCAAUCCCAAAUCCAGGUCUGAACCCCCUGAAAGGAGCAUCCUUCCAGAAGGAUCAGACCCUUUUUCCAUGGGGAAAUCCCAAUCCCAAAUCUGGAUCUGAACCCACUGAAAGGAGCUUCCCUACAGGGGGAUCAGACCCUUUUUCCAUGGGGAAAUCCCAAACUUGAUCCCAAAUUCGGGUCUGAACCCCUUGGGAGGAGCUUACUUUCAUGGGGAUCAGACCCUUUUAACAUGGGGAAAUCCUUCCAGGAGGAUCAGACCCUUUUUCCAUGGGGAAAUCUCAAUCCCAAUCCCAAAUCCGGGUCUGAAUUCCCUGGGAGGAGCUGCCUUACAGGGGAAUCAGACCCU